CUUGCUUUCUUUUGCUGGCGACCGGCGCACGGGUGAGUAACACGUAUCCAACCUGCCCUUUACUCGGGGAUAGCCUUUCGAAAGAAAGAUUAAUACCCGAUAGCAUAAUGAUUCCGCAUGGUUUCAUUAUUAAAGGAUUCCGGUAAAGGAUGGGGAUGCGUUCCAUUAGGUUGUUGGUGGGGUAACGGCCCACCAAGCCUUCGAUGGAUAGGGGUUCUGAGAGGAAGGUCCCCCACAUUGGAACCGAGACACGGUCCAA
rnacentral:rRNA from 1 species